rnacentral:tRNA from 1 species
UACAUUUUGGUGUAUGAUGCACCCAAAUUUUUGAUAUUUGUGGGAAUAGUUUAACUCUAUUGAAUGUAA